rnacentral:lncRNA from 1 species
GUGACCGCCCCACUUGCCCCACCUAGUCCACCAGCUCCACCUGCUCAGUGAAAGGUUUUCAAGAAGCACCAGCACCAAGAGACGCAGUGGCAAGCCUUCACCACAACACUCCACACUGCCUAAUCUUCGUCUAUUAAAGGCUCAGACGUGUGGAUGGAAGGAGUAGGAGGAAGAAGAAGGAGUAACAAUGGAG